rnacentral:rRNA from 1 species
CAGCAGCCGCGGGAAUACGGAGGGAGCUAGCGUUGUUCGGAAUUACUGAGCGUAAAGCGCGCGUAGGCGGUUACUCAAGUCAGAGGUGAAAGCCCGGGGCUCAACCCCGGAACUGCCUUUGAAACUAGGUGACUAGAAUCUUGGAGAGGUCAGUGGAAUUCCGAGUGUAGAGGUGAAAUUCGUAGAUAUUCGGAAGAACACCAGUGGCGAAGGCGACUGACUGGACAAGUAUUGACGCUGAGGUGCGAAAGCGUGGGGAGCAAACAGGAUUAGAUACCCGCGUAGUCCCUGUCUCUUAUAU